GUUUACUAACUGACACGUAUAUAUUUUAUUAUUUCCGUGGAUUCCCUUUUCUUCCGUGAAUUAGCAAAAACCUGUAAAAAUGUGUAACGUCCGGUGCAUGAAUUUUCUUAUACUUUUAUAUUGGAUUCUUUCCUCCUUGUUUUUGUUUUUUAUGUAUCAUGUUGCAUUCAGGAUAAUCAGAAGAGGGAAUCCAUUCGACGAUGAGUAGGAAAGGCGUUACAUGCCGUAGGAUUUUAAAAAUGCUGAAAUCAUUAGCUUCUUGAUGUCAAAUCAAAAUGUUGAUGUUUCAAUAAAUCUUGCAGCAAUGUCAAAACCCAACCGAAAACCUAAAAA